rnacentral:rRNA from 1 species
UGAGGAAUAUUGGUCAAUGGGCGGGAGCCUGAACCAGCCAAGUCGCGUGAGGGAAGACGGUCCUGAGGAUUGUAAACCUCUUUUGCCGGGGAGCAAAGGAUUCCAUGAAUGGGAAGCUGAGAGUACCCGGAGAAAAAGCAUCGGCUAACUCCGUGCCAGCAGCCGCGGUAAUACGGAGGAUGCGAGCGUUAUCCGGAUUUAUUGGGUUUAAAGGGUGCGUAGGCGGAGCGUCAAGUCAGCGGUUAAAAUGCGGGGCUCAACUCCGUAGUGCCGUUGAAACUGAUGUCCUUGAGUGGGCGAGAAGUAUGCGGAAUGCGUGGUGUAGCGGUGAAAUGCAUAGAUAUCACGCAGAACUCCGAUUGCGAAGGCAGCAUACCGGCGCCCUACUGACGCUGAAGCACGAAAGCGUGGGUAUCGAACAGG